rnacentral:rRNA from 1 species
GACGAACGCUGGCGGCGUGCCUAAUACAUGCCAGUAGAACGCUGAAGGAGGAGCUUGCUUCUCUGGAUGAGUUGCGAACGGGUGAGUAACGCGUAGGUAACCUGCCUGGUAGCGGGGGAUAACUAUUGGAAACCAUAGCUAAUACCGCAUAAGAGUAGAUGUUGCAUGACAUUUGCUUAAAAGGUGCAAUUGCAUCACUACCAGAUGGACCUGCGUUGUAUUAGCUAGUUGGUGGGGUAACGGCUCACCAAGGCGACGAUACAUAGCCGACCUGAGAGGGUGAUCGGCCACACUGGGACUGAGACACGGCCCAGACUCCUACGGGAGGCAGCAGUAGGGAAUCUUCGGCAAUGGACGGAAGUCUGACCGAGCAACGCCGCGUGAGUGAAGAAGGUUUUCGGAUCGUAAAGCUCUGUUGUAAGAGAAGAACGAGUGUGAGAGUGGAAAGUUCACACUGUGACGGUAUCUUACCAGAAAGGGACGGCUAACUACGUG